rnacentral:lncRNA from 1 species
UUGUACUAAAGAUAUACUAUAUUUGGUGACUCGUCAGACUCAUGCAUUAUACUAAAAAGCAAAAUAAACAACUAAAAGGAAAUAAACUAUCUAAAAACAGCAAAGAAAAAGCAAUAAAGGAAAAAAUGAGAAAAACAAUAAAGAAAAAACGAUAGAGUCUCCUCCCACACUUAAAUCGAACAUUGUCCCCAAUGUUUCGAAAUAAGAUAAGGGAAAAGUUACCUGACAACCUAUUGCUGACCACU